CUUCCCUCACAGCCACAGUUUUGAGCCUAUAAUUACUUCAAGAUGCCAAAAUGUUUACAUUAUUCCCAAUUGCUCUGUUAAAAAGCAGAUACAAAUCUCAUUUUGUCUAGCCUUACAACAAAACUAUAUACUUAAGCAUAUUACUAACGUUGCUUCCUCCUUCCCCAUAUGCAGACACCCAUUAAGAAAGUAAAUUGUGACUGAGAUUGCCUGACAAGAUGUGGAGUUGUGUGAAGGGGUGUUUACACAGGGUACAUAAGUCUAGAGGGAGAAGGGAUUCAAUAUUUUCAUUUUUCAAAAGCAGAAGCCUUUCUGAGAGUCUGGGUGUCAGUUAGUAGGCAAAGGGAGAAUGAGGCAUUCCUCUGGUGGGAUUUGGAUCAGAUGUGGCUGGAGCUGCAAUGGAGAAGGUGACUUACUCUCAAAUCACUUGUAAGUGCAAGGGAAAGAGCCAAACUUCACACAAAAAUUUAGACAUACAACUCUGCAAGAAGGAGAAGAUUUAAUCCUGCAUUGCACUAUACAUGGAAAGCCCAAACCACAUGUCUACUGGACAAAGGAUGAUAUCCAAGUGGUAUCCGGAGACAUCAGUGUAUGUUCUAAUGUUCUUGAAAUAUUUCCUGGGAGAAAGAUUAUAUACUUUGCUUUAUGCUACUAAUAAUCUCCUAUGUGCAUUGUAUUCUUUUACAGAUUGAGAAAUUAGGAGAUACGUAUUAUCUUUUGAAAAGAAAUGUUGUCCUUGCUGAUACUGGGAAAUAUAUCUGUGUUGCCAGGAAUGAAACUGGAAAGGCCCACUGUUCUGCUUUCGUAACAGUGAUAGGUGAUUCAUACUGCCAGAUGCAUGCAUUUAUGCAUGUUGUUGACAUAUUAAAUUAGCAACUUGUUUCCACUAAUGUAUGUGCUUUGUUUCAGAGAAAAAUAAACCCCCAGAAAUCUCCACUGUAACUCAGGCUAAAUCAGAAUGGGAAGAUGGGUACUUUUCAGAAGAAAUGAAUGCCACCACAGCUGAAGUUCUACAAACCCAUGACACACAUUCUGUGCGAAAUCAAAGGCCGGUGGCUAAACAUCUCCCAGUAAGGUUUACAGAGAAACUUUGGCUUCAAGGUGUGUAUCUUGAACUUGAGAGGCCACAUGAGAUUAUCUUCAAUAUGGGAUAUGAUCCUGCUCUUCUGCCUCCUGCAGAGGGUCAGAAGAUGGAUUGAAUUGCAAGACCCCAGAUUAAUGGAGGUGUUCAUGUUGUUUGCUCUGCCCAUUAAUAGAUAUUGGCCAUGGGUGAGGAGAUGAAUCUUUGAU
rnacentral:lncRNA from 14 species